UUCCGGUUGAUCCUGCCGGAGGCCAUUGCUAUCGGAGUCCGAUUUAGCCAUGCUAGUCGUGCGAGUUCAGACUCGCGGCACCGAGCUCAGUAACACGUGGCCAAACUACCCUACAGAGACGGAUACCCUCGGGAAACUGAGGUUAACCCGUCAUACCGAUCUCAGGCUUGAAUCGCAGAGAUCACAAAAUGCCCCGGCGCUGUAGGAUGUGGCUGCGGUUGAUUAGGUAGACGGUGGGGUAACGGCCCACCGUGCCCAUAAUCAGUACAGGUUGUGAGAGCAAGAACCUGGAGACGGAAUCUGAGACAAGAUUCCGGGCCCUACGGGGCGCAGCAGGCGCGAAACCUUUACACUGCACGCACGUGCGAUAAGGGGACUCCGAGUGCGAGGGCAUAUCGUCCUCGCUUUCGUGUACCGUAGGGUGGUACACCAACAAGGGCUGGGCAAGACCGGUGCCAGCCGCCGCGGUAAUACCGGCAGCCCGAGUGAUGGCCGAUCUUAUUGGGCCUAAAGCGUCCGUAGCUGGCUGCGCAAGUCCGUCGGGAAAUCCACUCGCCCAACGAGUGGGCGUCCGACGGAAACUGCAUAGCUUGGGACCGGAAGGCUCGAAGGGUA
rnacentral:rRNA from 1 species